rnacentral:rRNA from 1 species
AUUGAACGCUGGCGGCAGGCCUAACACAUGCAAGUCGAGCGGAUGAAGGGAGCUUGCUCCUGGAUUCAGCGGCGGACGGGUGAGUAGUGCCUAGGAAUCUGCCUGGUAGUGGGGGAUAACGUCCGGAAACGGGCGCUAAUACCGCAUACGUCCUGAGGGAGAAAGUGGGGGAUCUUCGGACCUCACGCUAUCAGAUGAGCCUAGGUCGGAUUAGCUAGUUGGUGGGGUAAAGGCCUACCAAGGCGACGAUCCGUAACUGGUCUGAGAGGAUGAUCAGUCACACUGGAACCGAGACACGGUCCAGGCUCCUACGGGAGGCAGCAGUGGGGAAUAUUGGACAAUGGGCGAAAGCCUGAUCCAGCCAUGCCGCGUGUGUGAAGAAGGUCUUCGGAUUGUAAAGCACUUUAAGUUGGGAGGAAGGGCAGUAAGUUAAUACCUUGCUGUUUUGACGUUACCAACAGAAUAAGCACCGGCUAACUUCGUG